rnacentral:rRNA from 1 species
AGAGUUUGAUCCUGGCUCAGGACGAACGCUGGCGGCGUGCUUAACACAUGCAAGUCGAGCGAUGAAACACCUUCGGGUGUGAAUUAGCGGCGAACGGGUGAGGAACACGUGAAGAAUCUGCCUUCAACUCUGGGAUAACUCCGGGAAACCGGGGCUAAUACCGGAUAUGAGCCUCGAUCGCAUGAUUGGGGCUGGAAAGUUUUUCGGUUGAAGAUGACUUCGCGGCCUAUCAGCUUGUUGGUGAGGUAAUGGCUCACCAAGGCGACGACGGGUAGCCGGCCUGAGAGGGCGACCGGCCACACUGGGACUGAGACACGGCCCAGACUCCUACGGGAGGCAGCAGUGGGGAAUAUUGGGCAAUGGAGGAAACUCUGACCCAGCGACGCCGCGUGAGGGAUGAAGGCCUUCGGGUUGUAAACCUCUUUCAGUAGGGAAGAAGCGAAAGUGACGGUACCUACAGAAGAAGCACCGGCUAACUAUGUGCCAGCAGCCGCGGUAAUACAUAGGGUGCAAGCGUUGUCCGGAAUUAUUGGGCGUAAAGAGCUCGUAGGUGGUUCGAUACGUCGGAUGUGAAAAUCAGGGGCUCAACCCCUGACCUGCAUCCGAUACGGUCGAGCUAGAGUUUGGUAGGGGAGACUGGAAUUCCUGGUGUAGCGGUGGAAUGCGCAGAUAUCAGGAGGAACACCGAUGGCGAAGGCAGGUCUCUGGGCCAAUACUGACACUGAGGAGCGAAAGCGUGGGGAGCGAACAGGAUUAGAUACCCUGGUAGUCCACGCCGUAAACGGUGGGCGCUAGUUGUGCGAACCUUCCAC